rnacentral:pre_miRNA from 1 species
UGAAUCUCGGCCCUCCAAAACAAAUCCAACGGCUGAGAUCCGUCCACGUCAUCACGAGUUAAAAUUUUACUCGCAGAUUUAUUCAGAAGUAAAAAAAUUUUACUAGGAGUAAAAUUUCAAGUAUUGGGAGUAAAAUUUUAACUCGUGAUGACGUGGACGAAUCUCAGCCAUUGAAUUUGUUUUUAGGGCUGAGAUUCA